UCGGGAAACCGGAGCUAAUACCGGAUAAUAUAUUGAACCGCAUGGUUCAAUAGUGAAAGACGGUCUUGCUGUCACUUAUAGAUGGAUCCGCGCCGCAUUAGCUAGUUGGUAAGGUAACGGCUUACCAAGGCAACGAUGCGUAGCCGACCUGAGAGGGUGAUCGGCCACACUGGAACUGAGACACGGUCCAG
rnacentral:rRNA from 1 species